CCUCUAAAACUCAUUGUGUCUAAUAAAUCUAUAUUUUUAUAUACUCAUCCUGUGUCCGACCCAUACUGUGACAUCCACUCUGGCAUGGUGGUACUUUGCCGGACCUAAAACAUUGACGUACACCCAUGUGAUGGAAAUCUUUAUUUACCCAAAUUUCCAGGAUUGUACCCAUCUGAUGCUGUUCUUCAGGUUGCAUGAUGUAUACCAGCUGCGACUGAGUUGCCAGUUUCACCCUCAUAUUUGUGGAAGGAGGCAGGUGAAUGUGCUUCUCAGUUAACUUUGGAGCCAUGCGGAUGGAAGUUCUUUGGUCUUGUUUAAAAAAAAAAAGUCCUCAAGGUGUUUCCAUGACACUUGAUGGCCUCCAACCUAUGAGGUGUUUUUUUUGCCAACAUCAACACAGUGAGCAUCAUCGCCAGAGUAACUGAUGUCCAGGGAGGCACCAAGGACCUUCAUGGCCUUCACAUUGCUGGAUCCCUGGUCACAGACAAUGCAUUUGACCUGAAAGUAAGAGUUAAAUUCAGCAGUGUAAAUUUAAAUUAGAGUGUAAAUUACCUAUACAUUUGUUUUUCAAAAAUCAUUUUGUUGCAUAGAGAAUGGCCUACAUUUAAU